rnacentral:rRNA from 1 species
GAAUUUCCCCCUUCCAGUAGUCAUAUGCCUUGUCUCAAAGAUUAAGCCAUGCAUGUCUAAGUAUAAGCAACCUAUACGGUGAAACUGCGAAGGGCUCAUUAAAUCAGUUAUCGUUUAUUUGAUAGUACCUUACUACAUGGAUAACCGUGGUAAUUCUAGAGCUAAUACAUGCUAAAAACCUCGACUUCGGAAGGGGUGUAUUUAUUAGAUAAAAAACCAAUGCCCUUCGGGGCUCCUUGGUGAAUCAUAAUAACUUAACGAAUCGCAUGGCCUUGCGCCGGCGAUGGUUCAUUCAAAUUUCUGCCCUAUCAACUUUCGAUGGUAGGAUAGUGGCCUACCAUGGUAUCAACGGGUAACGGGGAAUUAGGGUUCGACUCCGGAGAGGGAGCCUGAGAAACGGCUACCACAUCCAAGGAAGGCAGCAGGCGCGCAAAUUACCCAAUCCCCGACACGGGGAGGUAGUGACAAUAAAUACUGAUACAGGGCUCUUUUGGGUCUUGUAAUUGGAAUGAGUACAAUUUAAAUCCCUUAACGAGGAACAAUUGGAGGGCAAGUCUGGU